rnacentral:rRNA from 1 species
GACGAACGCUGGCGGCGUGCUUAACACAUGCAAGUCGAACGGAAAGGCCCCUUUGGUGGUACUCGAGUGUCGAACGGGUGCGUAACACGUGAGUAACCUGCCCUUGACUUCGGGAUAACUUCAGGAAACGGGGGCUAAUACCGGAUAGGAAUCCUUGCUGCAUGGUGGGGGUUGGAAAGCGUCGGCGGUUUUGGAUGGACUCGCGGCUUAUCAGCUUGUUGGUGGGGUAGUGGCUUACCAAGGCUGUGACGGGUAGCCGGCCUGAGAGGGCGACCGGCCACAUUGGGACUGAGCUACGGCCCAGACUCCUACGGGAGGCAGAGGUGGGGAAUAUUGCACAAUGGGCGGCAGCCUGAUGCAGCAACGCCGCGUGCGGGAUGACGGCCUUCGGGUUGUAAACCGAUUUCAGCAGGGGCGAAGCUUGUGGUGACGGUACCUGCAGAAGAAGCACCGGCUAACUACGUG